CGACGCCGCGUGGGGAGUGAAGGCCUUCGGUUGUAAACUCUUUGUAGGGAAGAUAAUGACGGUACCCUGCGAAUAAGCCACGGCUAACUCUGUGC
rnacentral:rRNA from 1 species